rnacentral:rRNA from 1 species
UACGGAGGGUGCGAGCGUUGUCCGGAAUCACUGGGCGUAAAGGGCGCGUAGGUGGCGCGGGCAGUCAACGGUGAAAGUUCGGGGCUCAACCCUGAAUCGGCCGUCGAUACUCCCGGGCUUGAGCACUGUAGAGGCAGAUGGAAUUCCGGGUGUAGCGGUGGAAUGCGUAGAGAUCCGGAAGAACACCGGUGGCGAAGGCGGUCUGCUGGGCAGUUGCUGACACUGAGGCGCGACAGCGUGGGGAGCAAACAGGG